rnacentral:rRNA from 1 species
GACGAACGCUGGCGGCGUGCCUAAUACAUGCAAGUCGAGCGAAGCGGCGGGUGGGUGAGUAACGCGUGGGUAACCUGCCCUUAAGUCUGGGAUACCAUUUGGAAACAGAUGCUAAUACCGGAUACUAAAGGGUGGACCUGCGAUGCAUUAGCUAGUGGGUAAGGGAACGGCUUACAAAGGCGAUGAUGCAUAGCCGAUUUGAGCGACGGAUCUGCAACACUGUGACUGAGACACGGCCCAAACUCCUACGGGAGGCAGCAGUAGGGAAUCUUCCACAAUGGACGAAAGUCUGAUGGAGCUACGCGGCGUGGGUGAAGAAGGUUUUCGGAUCGUAAAGCUCUGUUGUUGGUGAAGCGGUAAUCAACCAGAAAGUCACGGCUAACUACGUGCCAGCCGCCGCGGUAAUUC